UCCCCGAUAGCUCAGCCGGUAGAGCGCCGGACUGUUAAUCCGUAGGUCCCUGGUUCGAGCCCAGGUCGGGGAG
rnacentral:tRNA from 1 species